CCUGACUGCAGGAGCAAGUACACGAUCUGACCAAAAGGAUGCGUGUGUCAGACUCAGUGAAAGAGGCGUGGCCUCUGUGUGUGUUGUCUUAGUGAAGGAGGUGUGUCCUCUGUGUGUCAGACUCAGUGAAGGAGGUGUGGCCUCUGUGUGUGUUGUCUUAGUGAAGGAGGUGUGUCCUCUGUGUGUCAGACUCAGUGACAGAGGCGUGGCCUCUGUGUGUCAGACUCAGUGAAGGAGGUGUGGCCUCUGUGUGUCAGUCUUAGUGACGUAGGUGUGUCCUGUGUGUGUGAGUCUCAGUAAAGGAGGCCUGGCCUCUGUGUGUGUGUGUGUCAGUCUCAGUGAAGGAGGUGUGUCCUGUGUGUGUGUCAGUCUUAGUGAAGUAGGCGUGUCCUGUGUGUGUCAAUCUCAGUAAAGGAGGUGUGGCCUCUGUGUGUGUGUCAGUCUUAGUGACGUAGGCGUGUCCUGUGUGUGUCAAUCUCAGUAAAGGAGGCGUGGCCUCUGUGUGUCAGACUCAGUAAAGGAGGCGUGGCCUCUGUGUGUGUGUCAGUCUCAGUGAAGGAGGUGUGUCCUGUGUGUGUGUCAGUCUCAGUGAAGGAGGCGUGUCCUGUGUGUGUCAAUCUCAGUAAAGGAGGCGUGGCCUCUGUGUGUGUGUCAGUCUCAGUGAAGGAGGUGUGUCCUGUGUGUGUCAGUCUCAGUGAAGGAG
ensembl:lncRNA